GAGAAAAAUGUCUACAUUGAUGACCUCUACUGCUUUUAUGGCCACCUGGAAGGAUCUCCAAGUUGACCUACUGCACUCCUUGCUGGAAACCUUCAGGUCAGAGGUCAUGCUGAUGUUUCCACUUAGAGCAGACAGACAGGUCCAGCUGAUCUCUACCUGCUUUGUUACCAGGAGAAUGGCAU